CCGCCUCCCGCCCGCCCCACACGGGUGGCCGCCCAGCCCCCUCUUACCCUGUUUAGGACCUAACCGCCCUCGCCUCAUGUGGGCGUCCUUCCCUGGCCUCCAUGGCCGGCGGCGUCUCUGGGCAGAGAGGCGCCCUCAGUCCCUGAGGGGGGAAGCUGGGCAGAGUUCUUCCUGAUUUCUGUUUAAGAAUCCUGAUGUGGCAGCUCUUACCAGUGUAGGGCCAGGGACUUAGAGGCAGCGAGGUUCGGGAAAAGAAGGACACCAGCACUUUACUGAACAGAUUCACCUUUACUGAGGCAAGAAGGGGCAGCAGUCAGAUUAGUGAGCUGCUGCACUAACCCAAGGAAAGACCUCUCCACAUGACGGCUGCCCUCAGACACCAGACGAGUACAUGGAGGAUAAUGAAGAUUCAGAGACAGUGAGCAAGAAUACUGAGAUGUCAGACAAUUCUCUAAUCAGCUCUUUGGAGAAUGGCAAAAAUGUCAUCAGUGAUGAUGCAAAAGACCAGGAGGAGCAAGUGUGAACGUGGGGCCUGAGAUGAAAAGGCUCUGAUCUGAAUCCCUGAAUCCCUGAAGACCUGGACCUGGACCCCAGAGGCGGUGGAGCCCACACAGCACCAGGAGCCUCAUCUGGACCAGAUCAGGGGAGGCCUCACUGCUGCUCUCCUGAGGGCCUCGUGUAGUACGGCUUCAGUUGUUUUGUCGUGUAGAUUUAGCGUUAGUUUAAUCCACAGUUUUAUCUACAAGUUCUGUAUGUAUCUGUAUGUUCAAUGUUUAUAGGUAAGGUUUUUCAUUAAAUUUUUAAAACCUAUUUGUUAUUUUUACAAAAUGUUUGUUUGUAAAGCGCACAUGUAUAGACUGGCACCCUCAGCAGAGGCAGAACUUAAUGUUUGGCGUGAGCCAGCCACCCUGGCCUCUGCUACCAGGGUCACGCCCCCUUUCAC
ensembl:lncRNA